AGGGCGGGAGUUGAGUGCAAAGAAAUUCGUGUGUUCUACAAAAAGGAACUGGAAUUGUUUAGGAAUUUCUUGAUUAUAAUCCGCUGUUGGCUGAGUUCAAUUUGCCUUUGUUUGGCGUUGAAUUAUCCAAUGCAAAAUCAUAAUUGCUUACUCGAUUUUGGUUUUGAGUUUAGCCCUUUUAUCCUCAGCAAGGGAUUAGCAAUUAGUAAGUCCAUGGGAAUUGCAGUUAAGCUAAUUUGCCAUGUAAUAAUACGCCAUUAUUUGCAAUUAUUACGAAAACAUGCGACUUUUGUUUGGGUUCCGGAAAUUUGCACCAACAGGUGUAGUAUUCUUCUGAAUGCAGACUUUGUAGACAUUCUGUCUAGGAUUUUGCACAUUUGCACAAUUUUAUUUUGAUGCUGUGUGGUGUAUAUACAUAUACAUAUGUAUACCAAGAAAUUUC
rnacentral:misc_RNA from 1 species